rnacentral:rRNA from 1 species
UACGUAGGCAGCAAGCGUUGUUCGGAAUUACUGGGCGUAAAGGGUGCGCAGGCGGCCGUGUGUGUGGGGCGUGAAAGCCCGGGGCUUAACCCCGGAAUUGCACCUCAAACUACAUGGCUAGAGCAUUGGAGAGGGUAGCAGAAUUCAUGGUGUAGCAGUGAAAUGCGUAGAUAUCAUGAGGAAUACCAGAGGCGAAGGCGGCUACCUGGACAAUUGCUGACGCUCAGGCACGAAAGCGUGGGGAGCAAAAGGG